AACACACACCUGGAUGCGACCAGGAGAGAGAACACUCAGACACACAGGAAAGUCGAGCAGGGCUGAGGUACAAGUCUGUACCGACCACAGACAGAGGACUCAUGAUGUGUCUGACAGUCAGUAUUAGUGCUCCAACACCGGUGGCACACGGGUAAAUAGCAAAGGUACACAGCAUGAUUACAGCUCCACCCGGAUAAAUAAACCAUCAAAUAAGAUGCCUGGCAUUAAGAUUCAAUCCGGGUCGCGUCAGCCCGAGCGACAGGAUCAGUACCUCCAGGCUGAAGCUAAUAAAAGACGUCUUUACAGGAUUAGAUCUGGAGAAAUCACUGCUCAUCUCUGUACCUGAGCCACAUGUGGCCAUUUGAGCAGAUUCCUUGUUUGUGGUCAGUGAAGGGCAACUCUUCCUCACACAGGCAGCACCGCUCUGGGAACGUCUGCCUGUUCAGCUUCUUCUUGAUGUGACCUAUCAGCACCUGGGCAAAGAAGGGAAGACACAGAGCGUCCAGAUGAUAAGUCCUACUUUCAUUCAUUACAAAGGUGUAGUUUUAAUGUUUUCAAAAGCAGCUUUUGCCUCCAGAUGUCGUCCAGCAAUUCGGUCUGUGCAUUAUCAUUCCUUAGCUUCCUUCGCAUCCCAUCUCUCUUUGUGCCAUGUCUAUCUGCCACUUUGUGUCCAUCCUGCUAACACAAACAAAACUUUGCUUUUUUGGUCAGCACCAAUGUCUCCAUCAAUAUAUCCACCUUCACUCGUGUCCUACCUAUUUUCAUCACUAUUCGGUGAAAUUAUUUUUCACAUUUGAAGUGCUCCAUCCCAAAACUCUUUUUUUUUCCAUUUACAAUUCCCACCUUCACAGAAACUGAGUAUUCCUCCUCAUAUUCAUUCACAUUGAUUCCAUUUUCUAGCUCUGACUUUGCUCCAUUUUUGUCUCACAAACUUGAUAUUUUCCAUAUAUCAGGUUUUUGACAAUGUACCAAAAUGCCACGAGACCUAAAAUAACUUUGACUGUUAUCAAACCUGAGGCCUGUGGGCCACAUCUGGUCCACAGCAAUAAUAUCAGCGGCCUGUAACGUCAAUGUAUGAUGACUAUUUUAAAUGAUCCGUUCAAACUGCAAGUCCCAUACUGCAUUGCAACAGCCAAAAUCAAUUUGCAACAAAGACAGUGCGUACACUUUCAUGUGGACAAUAACCAUCGCUCACUGACAUUCAGUAUACUUUGGGGAUUCCCAGGUUAUUAGAUGAGUAGUUUUGGAUUUAUUGUGAAUUAACCUGAGCACCAUUGGUGCAAAAAGCAUGAAAGAAAUCUACAUACAGAAACGUAACUUCAUCAGAGGUCCUGGACACUUGCUCAUGUUGCGCUGCAUCAUUUCCUGAUCAACUCAUAAGCCACAGAAGACAUAGCUCAGGGCAAAUGUACAACAAUGACUAAACAUAAGUGGGGUUUUCCGCCAGGUGCGCGUGUCUGUGUGUUACCUCUGCCGUUUUGUCGCUGGCGUCUCUUGAGAGGUAGUCAACAAGGCCACAGGUUGGGAUGCUUGUGUUCCCAGGAGCAGAUGUGUUGAGGUAAACCAUCCCGAGCACCUUCUUCAUAUUCUCUCUCAGGAGGUGGCUCUCCACUUCGCUAACCAGACCCUGCUCUUCAGAAAUACAGUCCACCUUUCCAUCACAUCCUGCAGGCUCCACUUCUUCCUGUGCAGCACCUUCACCCUCCUCCUCUUCGUCGUCCUGGGCGAACAUCUUGCAGUCUUUCCCUGCAAACGUGCUCUCAAUGAACGGGCUCUGAAGCGACUGGUGGAGCGUUCGCUGGAGGAACAGUUUAAAACGCCACAGGUAGAGUGAGUCCUCAUCCUGGAUCCUCUUCUCCAGCUCCUCGUGCAGUGAUGCUGGAAUAGCUUUGGUUUUCAAAAUCUUCCACCGCAAGAGAUCUAGCAAGUCUGCCACCUUGAACAAGCUCUGUGAUGGGGAAUUCAGGAUUGCUGACACUGCCAUGUCGGGCGUUCUUAAAGUGAUGAAGUCCACCUGGUAUGUUCGAAUUACUGGAUGAAUAUUGUUGACCAUACCUUGUGCACUGAUGACUGCAAUAUAUGCCCCAUUGUGACUCACUGCAAUCCCAUGUAUCCGCCUGUCUGCCAGACUUUCGGGUUGCGUGAAGUCUUCUUGGUCAAACUGUAUCGUAGUUUCUGUAAAAGUGGGAGUCAACUUCUUAAUCCACCCAUCCAUGGAGCAUGUAUACACUGUAUAGUCCUGCAUGCUGACCGCUAAUGAGAGGAUGGGGAGGGAGUGGAGCCCAGCCACGUGAGAGUUGAGAACAUUGAGUCCAGCGGGCGAUAUCACCAAUAAACACCAGAAGACAUAGCAGCUGCGGGUCGCGACGAUGAGGCUGCAAGAUGUUUUGUGGACCGGGUGGACCACUGGAAUACAUUUGAUGUUUUCCACUGCGAGCUCAUCGCUCUCCUUCCACAGGACGACAGGAUGUUUGACAGUGAAGUAUCCCUUAACGCCGGAAAGACUGACUGGUUCGAUCUUUAUUGGACCCGCCAUGCUUCCGAUGAUCAGGCCACUCAUCCGUCGCUCUGGACUCUCAUACUCCCACCAGGCCAAAUCACUGGGUCGAGACACCCCAGAUUCAACAACAUCAUAGAACACAACGUCAUCACCGUUCACAAAAGGCAACAUAAACUUCCACAGAACAACGUUGCCGUUCUCCAUCAAUACGGCGAGCAGCACCAUCUCUACGUUGAUGCAGGUGUUGUUCGGCUGAAACUGUUUAACAGUGUAAACUCUUGACCACUCCAUUUUCAGAGGCGUCUGCAUCGCAUACCGCCGUCGCAAUUCGUCCAAGUCGUUGAGGCCAACCGUUGGGGGAGUAUUGUCCUUCUUGGCAUAUCCUUGAUCCUCCAGCCUCUGAGAGUAUUUGUCAGUGAGAUUGAUGAGCAAGUUCCAUUCAUGACGCUUUUGGCUGUUGUGGAUGGUCAGUCUGUGGUCAAAGGUGAGGCACGCCAGGAGGCAGCGUCCGUUGGCAUCACAGCCAAAUGGAGACCAACUGGUGUAUUUGAUCCCCUUUUGUAUCCCCACAUGUGGAUUUAGCACUGUGUCUGCCAAAAAAACUUGUCUCACAGUGGGGUCAGCAUGGCAGGAAAACUUCUGCACGGCCUUCGAGAGCUCCUUGACUGGUUCAACCUAGAAAGACAAAAAACAAAACAUCAAAUAGUGAUGAGGAAUGUGAAUAAUAAUACACCUGAUACACACAUAAAUACUGUAUUGAGGAGGCAGACAAAAUCAAACCUCUUUUAAAAAUGAAAAAAAGGGAUGUCUUAUUAAGGUUGGUCUAAUUAUGAAAUCUAAAAGGUAAAAAAGGCUGGAAAUACGUGUUUUAAUGGAGACCAAUAAUGACAGACAAAGGGAAACCUGUAGAAAUUGUUGUAAAAAUAAAUAUGAAAAUAAGGAAAAUAAUUACGUCAAUACAUGGUGAAAUACAUCGGAAAAAAGGCUACUAUUUCCUCACUUUAACUUGAAUAUCAAUUUAUAGUCAACAGAAUUGUUGACAAUUGUAAAUAUAGUUGCAAAACGUAAUUAAGAAAGAGAGAAAUUGCGAUUUACUGUCGGAAAUGAAUCAUCUUAAAGUUGACACACCCCACAUAACACAGAGAUCAUUCAUGAACAAUGUGAAGAAAAUGUCCCUUUUGCUACUUUCUUUUAAUUUAAAACAUUAAGAAACAGCCAUGACGUUUCCUCCAGGCUGUGAUUGGGGACAAGGACAACACUAUAAAUACUGUCCACAUGCCAGUGCCGCUGGAGCAAGAGCAGUUCUCCCAUCAUGUUUUUGUUUUAUGGUUCUGAUAUCGAUCAUUCCCGUGUAAAUUCAUCAAAGACAACAACAUCGAAACAGACACAGUCGGCAGGCAAUUAGCACAUGUGAAAUAAUGUAGCAGUAUGAGACACAAUUCAUCAGGAAACAAACACAUUGUAUUUGAAUAUUAUAUUAUGGGAAGUAGUAGGGAGAGGCACAGCCUCUGUCGUACACACUCAAGUCUCCGACAGCAGCCACUGUGAACUGUUCAAAUCAAUAUAAAUUAUGUUGAGUUUUUUCUACACCAAACACUUUAUUAUGAGCCACCGUGCAGCUGUAUACAUGUGAGGAAAGAUGUCCUACAUGUGGGCUGAGACUUAAAUACUUUUCAGUUUUCCUAUUUUGUCCUAGACAAUUCAAUAUAAUGUAUUAAUGUUCAACAUCGCGAGAUAAAAGUAGACUGGAUUUACUUGUCAGGUGCUACUAAUUCAAUUCCAUGAUGACAAUAACUAUACUUAUAGUGCUACAUAGGUCAGGGGGCAAAGACCAUGAACAGGCGGCGCCACAUUUCACCAAAACCCUGUAUAAAUGGCAGCACUUACAUAAAAUGGUUGAAUAAAAACAACUUUAUUGGCUGUUUGGAAAAGAGGCCUUUCUGAAAGUUGUUCGAUUCGUGGACACAUUACUAACAUGAGGAGGAACAGAUGUUAAAGACGGAGCCCUGGAAGUUAUGCAUGUGUUUAUUUUAUUGGAUGUGACAUGCAUGAGUCUAUUUUUUUCAUCUUGUGAUUAAAGAUAUCUCGAGAUAAUUUUUAUCUCUAGAUACAAUCGUAAAUGUCAGUGCAUGCGUAACUGCCUCUCUGUCAAAGCAUUAAUUAUAUAUCCACCUGUAACCACUAUGUCUCCGAUGGCUUCGUAACAGUUCGGCAACGUUGUCAAUCUGCAAAUCAGAAUAUAGAAUAAGUCGCUGCGCUUGAAUUAAAGCAUCUGAUCCAGUGCCUUCUACUCAAAACAAUACCGUAUGUGUGUAAGCUAUACAGACUCCGUGUGAAUCGUACCUAAAUGGAAAAAAGCAGAUCAACCUCUCGGUCCAUGGGACUAGUCCUACCACAAUUGACUGAUUGUAUAUAGAGAUUUAUUCACAAAAUCCGGUGAUCACGAGAGAAAAUUUAUCUCCAGAAAACUUUUAUCUUGACACAGAAAAACAGUCAAGCAUAUCACUUCCAGGACACCGUAGUUAACUUGAACUCGAGUACGUAUUUUAAACAUUAUGUGGAAGAGGUCACAAGGUCACAUCCUGAAAAGGAUGGGGAAGCACUUGCUUCCACUUGGGUAAACCAGCACGUUUAUAAGACCAGUGGACGUCCGGGCACACGCAUUCUGACUUGUAGCGCCAUAAGAAUAAAAACCUGUUUUACCCUUAACUGUUGAACAUUUUCUGGCACGCGAAUUGAAGUCCGGUGGAUGAUCAGCUCCUGUUUGUUGCUGUUGACGUCACAGAGCAGCUCAAGCACUGAGAGGGAGGCGAGGGUGCUAACAGCUAGCCGAUGGUCCUCCGACCAGCAUAGCGGCAUGAGCCCGCACACCGGAGAGAGCAGAGUAACGACAGGCUCUCUCCGCGACCCUGCACUGAAGUGAAACUCUUCCAUGGGUUGGUCUUCUGUCUCCACCAGCCUUGGCUGCUGUUGCAGGUCUGAUGCACUGAGAGCAGCCAUGUUUGCUGAGCGGAGGAAGUGACGUCACCGGACGCGAGUUCCCAUUUGUGAGAAACAAAAUAAAGUAUUCGGGGAAUAUUCUUUUUAAAUAUCGCAAGUUAUUUAAAUACAGGCCGUGAACUGUUAUUGAAGUGCUGUUUUUAAAACAAAGCAACAUUUUACCUUAACAUUAGAUGGGAAAGUGAAACAAUCCGUAAACAACUCAGAUAUAAAGUAAAAUAAAUAAAUGCAUCAACAUGUUACAGUGGAAGAAAGGGUCACAAAGGAUGUGUGUAUUAGCUCUUCAUUUUAUGGCAAACUUGAUAAUGGCACACUUCUAGUAUUUGAUACGCAUGAAACUUUUGUAGCGCAACAACAAUUUCUAUAUCUAUGAAUGUUUAUUUGUUGUUGUUCUAAAUUGUACCUUAAUUUGAAAAGCAGUGCAUCACUGUGACUUGAUUCUAUUUCAAGACAAGCAAACUUUGCAGCUCUUGAUGUCUAAUGAAAUGAUUUCUUUUUCAGCGAUUACAUUUUUUUUGAGUGCUCAGACUCUUGUCGUCGUCGUGUGCUCAGACCAGAGUUCCUCUCGUCUCCUUGUAAAGUGCUCAUGAGCUAGGACUCCUCCAGAUGGAGACACAGGUGCUCGUUCUUCAGCGCUAACAUGGAGCUGAUAAUUUCUAUGCAGACUGGGUUGUUGCAGUCAUUGACCUGGCAGCUGUCAGUGCUUGCACAGAUCAAAUGUGGGAAAUAGCGUCCCUGAUCUCUGAAAUGUUGUCCUUUGAACUGGUUUCUUCUCUUGAAUGCCAAUCACUUUCCCCCUCAGUGUGUCAAGACUAUCCCUGCUCCUGUCCUCUGAUACAUGAAUGGGUAAUUAGCAACACAUGCUUCGCAUAAAUUCAGUUUAGAUGGAACAGUUUUAAUUGUAUGCUCUCCCUCCGUCAUGAAAUACGCUGACAGCUAAGAAGCCGGAGUCAGGUAUGCUUUGUUUCUGUCGCAGUUGUUGGUGACAUGUCCACUGAGUGUUAAGCUUCCUUUAAUGCAGGAUACUGCAUCAAAGUCACUCUAAACCAAAGACAAUGGUUUUGUCUUUACUUGUUCGUGUUAAAUGAUAAUGUCUGGUUUUCAAUCUUUGAAGGGUCAGAAGAGAGCGUUGGAGCGUCUGCUGUCGGCCCAGUAUGAAAAAAGAGGGCUGGGUCUUAUCACUUGUAUUUACUCUCACAUUUAACCUGCGUUUCCCAGACAGUAUUUCUACUUACCCACCCUGGUGUUCACAUGUUAAAUUGCAGUGCAUCUUUCUGUUUUGCUGACUACUCUUCCAGCAUUUCCUAGCCUGAUCCAUGGUUUCUGUUUUGCUUGCUUGAGCUGUGACUGUUCUUGAAAAAGGAACUUAAAAUGAGUUGUUACUUCCUCUUGCGCUCCAUGGAUUGUAUAGAUUCAAUUAUUCCUCUGUAUUUUAUUAUUACUUAUGUGAUUAAUUCCAAAAGGCUUUUUAAAAAAACUCACUUUAAAAGCAAUGUUUUACGUGUUUUUACUCCAGUGACGCUCUGCUUGAGGUCAGUGCUUAACACAGUUCUUGUCAUUAGAACAGAUUAGUCAAAACGUGAGGGAUCUCCAUGAGGUUGUUUUAAGAAUCCACGUGUCACACACAUAAAAUAGAGAUUUGUUGAAACCGCCCUGACACCCAAGGCUCCGAGAGGAAACAGCCGUGACAAGACUGACAUCUGCCUCCGGUCACUCUUCACCAGGAGCGACAUUUUCUUGUCAGAUUUCAGUUGCCAUUAAUAAAAAUAUGAGAACCGUCCCAGCCUCACUUGAUGGCUCGCAUAUUUCCCAGCAUGCACAAGCUCCUGGAGAGGUCACGGGUCAAAUUGCCGCAGCGGUGUGUGUGGAGCGAGCGAGUCCCAGGCAGACAGUGAUUUGUCACAGGCCUCAGAUGAAAGCUCGUCGUGCAGGAGCUGCUUGACUCUCACUGAGAUGACAGCAGGAUUUCAUCAGGCGCAGUUAUUUGUCACAAAACAAACUGUUACAAAUCUGCGAGACAAAUAUAGAAUAGUGUACCCGCCAUGUUUUAAGCGUCUCUUUUUUCUGUCUUUUGUUUCAAUAAUCGGGAUGAAUAAAUGAACGGGGACCAUGGUGUGUUUCAUUCUUAAUGAAGCGUGUAGUAAAUGAAUAUUUCAGACACCUGCUGUGUGUCUUUGCUGGGUUUUAACUGGGGACUCAAUCCCAGACCACCAUGUAUGAAUGUUGGAUUAAACAUUCAUCAAAUGCUGUCACAAAAACUUUGUCCUCUCCUGUCAAGCGCAUAUAAAAAUGGAAACAGGCCGAAGAAGCCGUGGUCUGAUUUAAGAAUGGGCCUCGGCCGUCUUGUCGUGGAAUUAUUUAGUUGUAUGUGUUGUGUGGUUUGGGUUUGCAGGUCACCCCGGGUCAAUCCCUUCCAUCUUCAAUAUCCACCCGCUCUGUUGUUAUUGCCUGCAGGUUCCCCCCCUCAAUCCUCAGCAGACCCCAUCUUCUGCUGUUGGCUGGUUCCAAGUGUCAGUUGAGCUGCUUACAUGUAUCUUGCGAGGGAGCCCGCAGGGAGGUUUUGAUGCAUGCUUCAUCAUACAUGUUUUAAUCAUUCAGUCUCUCAGACACCUCCCAGGAGGGGGCUGCUGCAGCGCAUUACCCACUACACACAAUUAGUGAUAUAAUCAUGAUGAUGAUAAUGAAAUGUAUUUAGAGCAUAUCAGCAUGCUUCACUCUGUUCAGGGAGACAUUAGCAGGCCUGGAAGCUCAGGCUCCUGGCGCUCUCCCUCUGGAGACCAGCGGGGCUCUGCAGGUCACCGCAUCAGAAAUUAGCAGUCGACUUGCCGCUCCUUCUGCGCCGUCAACUGCGAAAGCCUCACCUGACAGGUGUUGCUCUCAAUCAGCGUGCCUCUGCCUUCCAGUGCCGUCCUUGGGGCAUGGGGGGGGAUGUGGAAACAACACCCCCGCCCCUCGUCUUUGAACAUUCUGACAGCCUCUAACAUGCGUUGCUCAAAGAUGUGGUGCAUUGAGAGACCAUCGGUGUGUACUGACGGAAGCCCACCCUGACCUGUGGUUUAGUUUCCUGCUGGGUUUUUCAGUCACCUGUUAAAGGUCAGGGCGACAGUGUGUCAGAAUCAGAGGAAAAUCUUCUGUGUAGUGAGAAGAAAACACCUUGUUGCUAGUUACACUGGUACUCUGAAGGCCAGGCAGGAAGCCUGGUGCCAAGCUGCUUCUGCUGUGGUCGCACAACUUCCCAGUCUCAAAUGCAUGGAACAGCCUUUUGAACUAACGCUUGCUAGGUGUCAUCCAAAUGAAUGCGCCACUGAAUCAGCACUCCAUACGGAUGGCAUCAGUCCACUGAAUGGCACCUUCCAUUUGUUCAGCAACUGUGAUAAUCUCAUUCGAUGGACCAGCCGGCUAGUACCGCCGUCAACUGGCCAUGAAAAACCUUUCUGCCAGUGUCGGCGGGGGUAACAUCUACAAGCCGAAACAUGAAAGAAGCUCCAUGUAAAGCCACUGAGAGGGGAAAAAAACCUUCUUGUAUUGGCUGACAGUAGGUGGCGUAGUUGAUGGUGGUGGAUCAUAUGAUUCGGAGAUACAGCAUGUACUAUGAAAACAGUCAUUCAAUGGGCUGAUGACAUCUAUGUCGGCUGGAAUUGGAAAACUAUGAUUUUAUGACGUCACUUAUGGAACCUUUGACGUGUCUUGACUUUGUAUUUAAGGGUCAUAUCAAGGUUCUUCAUCAAACAAAAGGCUCAAUGUCAUUCAAGUAGAAGGUGAUGCAGGAAAGAACACAAAAGUGGAGAUUCAUAGAGUCACCAACUGAGACACACAACACAAACUUGAGCUUUUAUCUGCUUAACUCGGUAAUAAAAGAUCAACUAAAAUAAGGGGUAUGCAGGAAUAAGUGAGAAACAACAGCAGCUAUUAUAAUCAUUAUCAUCAUUAUUUACUAACUGGAAAGUAAUUUAGGAUGAUAUUCAUAUUCAAACCAAAAAGCAGCAGACUGUGUCUCUGUUGUCCCCUGUUGGAAAGUUCAGGCAACAGAUAUGAAACAGUACGUUUGGAUUGAUCUUGUGUUUGGACAGCAGGAACAUGUUUCACUUUCACUCGGUGAGCGGCUUAAUUACUUGUGCUUGUGCUUGAGUGCGUGCUAACUCCCCUCACACAGUGUGUGCUUCUUAAUAUCAGCUGGAGAACGCGGUAUUCUAAUCUCUGCUCAUAUAGACACUUUGCUCUCCACACAUGUCACGGUGGAAAAGCAACAGUGUGAGUCAAAUGUAGGAGCCUGUGGGGUUCCGCCACCUGGUGCUGUGGACAACUGUCAGCCUCACGUCAUCAUGCCCUUGUGCUCCUGAGGAUCAAUGUUUUCUUGGUGACUGAGGGGAACAAGAGUGGUGCUGUAGAGGUCAAUGUGACAGAGUGAUGCAUUCCUGCAGGGGCCAACAUUUUCAAACACUACUCUGUGGGCAGAACAAAAUUCAUAUUUACCAGUUUGUAAAUGGCAUUCUUUUGAAUUGUUGCAGUAUAUAAUGACCGAUACAAAAGAGAAGUCGUGCGCGAAACCUAAUGCAGUGUGGGUGUUCCUCGGUCUUAGCCAAUGUCUGCAGUGACCACAUGAUAAACCUGAUAUCAGCUGCGUUUUGGAAGUCACAAUGACGCUGCUCUGCUAAUGUGUACAUUUCUCUUCAGCCACGUUUUCAGCAGUGUGUUUUGGUAGUUUGUUCUCACAAGAAGAGGACAUGGUUUGUUGGUUUUAGGAGACAACAUUACCAUGUUAGCAACUGUUAGCAUGGUUGCUACGUUAGUUAGAGUAACGUGUGGUGAUCAAAAGCGUGACUCUGUGCCUUAGUUACUCGACAUCGAUCAUUCUUGCAAUACCAAGACGACUGUGUCUUGAUUUUUUGUUCCUGACUCUUGAGUUAAACUAGUUGAUAGGUCAGCACGAUGCUGUGUACAGACUUACAAUAUAAUAGUCUCAAAUGGCUCCUCGCUACCUGUCAGCUUUGCCUGUUCUUUGACUGUCAGCUUCCCUGGAAGGACUGUAGAGCUCCCAGGGCCACCCCUCAUCAUGAAGGCAUAUUACCCAGUAAUUGGACUUUCUCUCUACUGCAUGUAAACUGGGAGAACGUGACACAAUUGGACUCUACGGCUUAAUCGGGCUGUUGGCUUAGUCGAGCGACUCUCUGUAUAGAACCUUGCUCACAGUGUGAUUUCCUUCUUGAAACACAGACAUUCAUCCGCUUUCCCAUCUUUCAUCAAAUUUCCCUUUACCUGAAUCAAUUUUUAAGAGUUUUUCAAUUAUUGACAUUUAAUGUGUAUUCUCCACUUGCAGGCCUGUCUUGAACGCUAAUCCUUACAGGUCAUGAUAUCAACAUUAUUUUCUGUUCUUGAGCGCUUCACUGCACUUUGAGUUCCUGUGGGCCGCAAUAAAUUAUUUGGGAGGCCCAAUUUGGCCCACAGCCAUGAGUGUGACCAAUGUGGACCAUAGGGAGAGGAGAGCAUCAUCAUAUCUUGUUGAGGGGAGCAACUCAUAUUUUCAUCCAUUUUCCAAAAUGUACAGUACAGUUCCGUUGAACUGAACGCUGGAGCCGUAGGGAGCAAAGAAAGCAUUUACAUAGAGGCUGCGCAACACUUGACUCACUUGGUGUUGUUUCACGUUGAUGGAUGGAGGCUGGUUUGGUCCUGUGGCUCAUGGCGACCCUGCUCAGGCAGCCAGCGGCUGUUGCGUCCUCUGACCCAGUGUGGGCAUCUGGCAGUGGGCAGGACAUGCCCUGUGGCAGUGCCAGGGGAAGGCCUGGCUGGCUGGGGUCUGGGGCCCUGCUCUUUCCUCUGCUCAGGUCCCGUUAAUGUACUGAGGCUGGGUCGUCCAUAUGGCACUUAUGAGAAAGGUCCGGGAUGUCUGGAGGUUGGCAGGGAGCGACACCAGGCAGUCUCCCGUUAGAUAUUGAACAGGACAGGGCCAGAUCAAGGGACACGCCUCCAUUCCAGGCCCUGUCUUCUGAAAAGACAUUCUGUACUAGGAGCCUGUCUUCCUUUACAUUCAGGUAGUCAAGGUAAAUGUUGUAUUCUUCUCCACACAAGUGGUAACAACGACUACUUUUGGGGUUUAAAAACAUAACUUUGAUUUUUAUUAUUAGUUUAUUUAAAGAGGAUUCAAGGUUUAAUACAGGGAGCCGCUAAAACUUGAAGACACAAUGCAGUGACUAGACUGAACUUAAUAUUCUUUAAAGAAGUCAUAGAUGAUCGCUCCACCUUUAUAUCUUCCCAGUGAUUGAUCUGGUCAUAUCCACUUAAGGUGCUGGAUUUAGGAUUCAUGGUGUGAUUAGAAAGACAAAUAUACGUACAUCAUACUGCACAGCACACGUUCUUAAUGUGUAUAAUUGAGUUAAUUGUGUGGAUGAUGAUCAGCCUUUUGUAUUUGUUUGACUGUUAGGACUAUCUUGGAACUAAGGUGAUAACUGAAAUCCCAUAUCUUCUAAAUGACACAAUAACAAGUUCUGAUCGAUUAUUUCCAAGAGUUUGACAGACAGUGGGCAACACCUUGGAGGAUGUCCACCUUUUCAAAGUCAAGAAAAAGUUGCUUUGCCAGCACUGCGCCAGAGCUAGCCGGAUAGUUUAUUGGCACUAAGGAGGACUGCAGAGAGUGGAGCAGGCCAAGACCCCCUUUGGCACUGGACCGACCUGGUUCCACUUUGGAAUCACGAGACACAGGGCCACAAGGGAUGAGCGAGAGCUCUCAAUCACAUCUGCAUGGGUGGGCUCCUCUUUAGGACAUUUAUAAAAUAUAUUAUAAAAAAUACCAGGAUACAUCUACAUUUAAAUUCAGAAAUAUUUCUCUUGGAGUCUUGGUUUCAGUUCUUGCUCGUCAAGCUUCUCUCUGUCUUUUGCCUGGUCUUCCUCCCACCUCAUUGGUCCAGGAACAAUGGCGAACUUCGCUGCCAUCACCUCCCCUCCCUGGCUCCCUCUUAAGCAUUUUAUUGGUGACAGCUGCCGUGAAACAAACUCGCGGAGCGAGAGAAAUUAUGUGUCAGUAGAAGGUCCUUUAGCCCGCGCUGCUAAUCUGUCACACACCGUUUGUUGUUUACUGUUUCCUCCCGCUCAGCGACUGGCCGGCAGCAUGCGCCGCGCCGUAAUGGCGACAGAUGCUGACCCAAGGAAGUGUGAAUCUUGCCGGUCUUCCUGCUGUCAACCUGUAAAUUACAGCUAUCGGGAGUAAUUAGACCCGAUAAACCCUUCCAAGCCUCAUGCCUCUUGACACACACUCAUACACACACGUGUACACACAGUGCUCCAGUGUGUCAGGCUGAACUAUUCUGAGCCAGAUGCCCGCAGGCCCUGGACUGCCGUCGUAAUGUCAUAGUGUUAAAAAUCGUAGAUCUGUGCGAUAUCAUUUUGAGAGGCACUUUCAUAAUAGCGAAACCGCUCUCUGGUUUAAAUAAUUCAGACUUUCACCCCACAGUGACUAUGAGGACUUGAUGAUCACCUUCUGCAUUGCAUGUAUGGUUAGAAAGAUAAAUCUGUCCCGAGGAAAAAUUCUUGAAUAAAUCUACUGACAUUCCUGGGUGUCCUCUACUCGUCCUCACGAAGGUUCAGGAAGGACAGCAACCCCUUGGUUCAGUUCUGACCUGGCAUCCAUGUUCCACCCGCAUUCAGCGCAGCGACCACCACUGCCGAGCAUCUCUUAAAGCACGACCCUUGCCCCAUUAAGUCACUUGCUCUAUAUCGCAAAGGUCACGCAGCCAGGUCUUGUCAUCCUCUCCCUGACUCUGCCUCCUCCUUCGGCCCCUACUUCCUGACCAUCGCAGCCAAUCACUUUCCACUCCUCUGCCAUCAUUGCCGCGCUGCAAUCUGUCACCCGGGCACUAGGAGAUGCCACCCUGCAGUCCGCCUUCCGUACACUGUGGUAAUGGCUUCUGGCAGCCCUAGAAAGAUUAGCAACCGGCAAAAAGGCAGGAGAGCGGGAUGAAACGAGCGGAGGAGCCAAGGUUCAGAGUGCUGCGGACCUCCACUCACAUCCAAGCUGCCCCCAUUUCACUGCUGUUCGACCCAACUCUCCCUCAUCCCCUCACCCAGCGUUGGCCUGGUCGCUUUGCACGAUACUUCAGUGAAUAAAUGAGUCGUUUUAAUCCGACUGACAAGCUGGCAUUGCCCAUCCCUGCCCUCCAUCUGUACUGGCGGCCAGCGCAGCAGCAGGCCUAAAGCAGCUAGAUGUGCCAAUCCAACACACAGCUUAUCCUGGCUGUAGCUUCAGGGACAGAAGGGUUAGAGCUCUAUGCCGCUGCUACUCUCUCCCCCUAAAGAGCUAUUUAUAUAAGAAAGGGAUUAGCCGACAGAGGCUUUGAUGAACUGGAAAAAAAUUAUGAAUUUGCACCCAACUUGCUCUAGUUUGUUUGCUCGCCCUUGUCUCUGUAAAUGAGAAACGCACUUCACUUCCCGUCUCUCUGUCAGAGCUCUUUACAGAGCUUUUCCGCUCGACAGAAGCAAUAUUAUAAUGGGCAAGCGCCGGCCAGCCACACGCACAAGAGAAAACGGCGUUCGCUUCUCUCUCCAUAUAAAGCGAUAUAUUCCACACAGCGUUCGUAUUAAGAGUUAUAUUUUCGCUCCAUUAUCUUCCGCACUACCACACACACAAUCUGUGUCCUAAACAGAAAUGGCAAGAGAGAGGAGAGAGAAACUUGGCCACAGGAGGUGCUAAACCCUCUGCUCCAUUUCCUGUCUCCACAAGCGCCUCCCGGCUCCCACUCUUGGCCAUGUGUCACCUUUAAGUCGUUUGGGAUGGGACCUGGUAACAUUUGAGUGCCCAAUUAAGCGCAGGGGCUCAGCGCGGACACCCCCGAGGGUUCCGUUCAGGCACUUCCCCAGCAGCACAUUGCUCCCACCCUCUCCGUCUUUCUCAUGCUUCCUUUUCCCGUCUGUUUCCUCUUUUUCCACACAAACACUUUCUCCUCUGCGGUAAAAGAUCCCCGACUGAUCUGAUUGCAGCUUAUCUUUGGAACAGGAGGUUACGACUGUUUGAUCCAUGGUCGCUCGAAUUUGUGCCAGUUACACACUGGCAUGGGUGUGACGCUUUCUAACUGGAGCUCAGAGCAUUUGACAUCUUUGCUAUUUAGUCCUUUUUGAAGGGUUUAGAUGCAUUCACCUGAAGAUCCUUUGUGUGUAAAAGUACAACACAAAUGUCAUUUUCAAGGUCUUUAAGGUGACUGUUGUGUCGCUGACUUAGUGAACUAAAAAAUGUGGAGGAAAAUAAACCAUGUUGGCACAAUCAAGUCUUUGAAGCACUAAAGAAACACGUAUUCCCUGAACUGGAGUGAAACAGCAUCACUGGAUAAUUUAGGUUCCAGGCUCAGCGGUAACAGUUGGGCAGCGUUGAAAGCCAAAUAGACAUAAAUCACAGAGUUUUUUUUCAUAAGUGGGUUAAUAUCUCAGAGUUUAAUGUUUUAUUUAGCACAGAGGCAUGGGCAGCAUAAAGGGACGGCAAGUGUUUCUGAAUGUGGGCCGGAGGUAAAGGAUCGCGCAUCUCCCAGAGGUCAACUCGGAGCAUGCCGGCCUUGUUAAAGCAGCGCAGAGCUGAUACUCGCCUCCUCUCAAAUGCUCUCCAUAUUAAACAAGUGCUUUGUAAGUGUGCCAUCAUUACUAUUCAUCGAAAAUAAAUACUUAAACACCAGGAGCUUAGCACCCUACUGCUUUCCAGUGCCAUUAUUUCUGUCACCUAGUUAUCCUUUUUUGUCUUCUCCCUUGACGCUUCUCUCACCCAUUUAGCCUGAAAGUUAGCUGCCCCCCAGACUCACAGAGGGAGCCAGUGCGUGCUCACGUUCCUGACACAACAGAAUCACAGUGACAGAGUAGGUCCAUCGCUGCCUCAGACGCCAGGGCACAAGUCCACCCCAGUACGUCCUCUGUGAAGGAUAUUUGGAAGGUGAUCCGAUCCUUCUCCGGUGCCAUGGUGCUUGGCGGGCUGGUUGGAUGUGGAGCAACACGGCGUGCGCUGGACCAAGCCAGAGCCAGUGUUGCACAGAAGCUGAUGAAUUGCAGGCGAGAUGUGGGGCGGCAGCCGGUAUAUAUUUCCUGUUCCUGUCAAGAUGGCUAUUACCGCUGAUGGGUCUCCAGGUGUUUGCUGUGAUCUUUCCUACAUCUCGCUGCAUUGAUUUUGUGGAAACUCUGAUAAAUCUCAGACAGGCAGCAGACGUUUGUGUUGUCACAGCAAAGCUCAUCUGGAUCACACACUGAUUUCUGCUGCAGCUUCAUCGACCCAACCUGCACGAUUCAGUUAUGUUUCAAGAGUCUUCUACAUGUUCAGUCAUUUACAAGUAGCGACCAAAAGUCUUAACGGAAGGUUCUCGUCUGAAGCAGAAUCAAUGCAAACAAUGAUAAAGUGGAAGCUUCCGGAAGAAGAGCCCACUGAGAGCAGUGCUGUCAAUCGCAAAGAAAACAUUAAACCAGUUGUGGUCCAUUACAUUCAUGAAAGGGAUGUUAAAGGUGUCUCAGUUUAGUGGAUGCAUCUUGAUGCAAGUGACAAGUACGUGCUUGAAUGCAGAGAUGUUCAGUUGCUAGCUGUACAUUUGUCCUACGAGUCAGUAACCCUUAUGUGAUAAUAAAUACUGAGGGGAAAUUCUGGUUUCUAUGGAAACCAAUUUGGUCAUAAAUUCAUCAACCUUGUUUUCGCUCAACAUGUCCUACAUUUUUGCGUACUAGUCCUCAAUUUUGUUUGACUAGUGCACAAGUACACCUUACUUGUAAAGCAAUAUGUGUCUGUGUCAUGUACUAUAACUGGAGCUAAACAAUGCUCACUAGUAGCAAUAUCCCCAACCCAACAUUUGCAUUAGGCCUAGUAGUGCUACUGGGGUCUGUUGUACUAGUAGCGCUAGUACACCUAAAACUGUUGACUCGUACUGCGAGUGAACUUUUUUUGUUGUAGUAGAACUACUAGUAAACAUAGUUUUAAAACAAUAGUUUUACUAGUAAGUUUUUUUGUGCACUAGUGUGAGACUGGGUUAUACCAGUGAAGCAAUAUUACAGUUUUGUGUAUUACUAGUAAAGCUGAAAGGUGUAGUAGUGAUUGUUUUUGUAGUCUGCUAGUAGUACAAGUAACUCAAAAUACUAGUAGACAAAAAGAGUAGUAGAAGUUUAUACCAAUCCCAAAUCAAACAUUCAACAACUCUUUUAUGUCAACUUGAUCUGAUGGAUCAAAAGUCAUGAGUUAUCACUGUUUUUUAUUAUUCUGAAAGGUAGAGGAACGUUUAAGCACAAGUCACCUCUGAACACCGAUAAUGCUCACUCACUCUUUUGGCAAGGUGUUGUUGUUGUUUGGGAGUACGGUGCAGUGCUUUAUUCAGAUCCUCUUGAACUGGAGUCAGUGAAAGUUAAUAAUUCCUUUGAGGGGGGUUUUACCUUCAUCAGAAAACAGCUUGUUGCCAGACCUUGAAUUGAGGCCAGUGGAUUGUUCAUGAACAACAAGUGAGAUCCCGAACAGCAAGAUGGCACCACUCCACUAAAGCCUCCAUCAGCUGCUGAAUAAAUGGAUGUUGGAUGGGUAGAAAAAAAACUCAACAUGAAGAGUGAAUGUUGACACAUCAAUUCAUAUGUUUUUUUUUGAGAGCGUUUGUCCACGUACAAGACGUAAAUGUUUUGAGCAGCAGGCUGUUCAUUUGUUCAUUAAGAGUCUGUGUCUGUGCAGGGAUUACACCAUCGACAGAAGCAAAGGUCAACAUUAUUGGAUUUUCUCAAAGGUUGCCAUAUUUCUAAUCAUUUGACAGUCUUUUCCCUCACAUUGUAUCACACUGGAGGAGAAGCAUUCCUUUUCUCUACUUUUCCUCACAUUUGGGUGCAGCCAUCAUGGUUCUUAGUUUUUAACUCUGUCAGUUCAAACAUGCCAUAUUUUUCAUUUCAAAUGAUGCAUAAAGAUGAAGAAUUUAAGGCACAAAUGUGUGGCCCAGGGGCAAAAUCCAGUCUACCUAGUCAGCUUGUUACCCAUUGGAGCUUAAAAUGUGCACGUUCCAAACAAUACGAAAUAAACUAGUGUCCUUGUUGAGCUCAUGCUUGAGGCCAGUGACGGUCUAAAGUUUCAGUCAUUCAUCUGAGGUUAUUGAUUAAUCCAGGAACUAAUUCAAGUAAAAAAAGAGAAGGAAGGAAAUUGGCCUUUAAAAUGGUUUAGAUAUUUGUGCGCUUUAAGCAACAAUAGAUCAUAUUUUGACAUAAAUAAUAUUAUUUUCAUGUUCUCUGUGAUGGUAGGUGUCAUAUUGACCAGUAAUAAAUCACACAGAGGGGCUCUCUAGCUAUUAGCUCAACAAAUCUGUCGACAAAGUAACUUUCUCUGGGCGAGAAAAAACAGAGACCAACCAACCAAGAGCCCAGACCAGAGUGGACAAAGCACAGUUACGUUCACACCCUGCCAAGAACCGAGGACGACGGAAGAUGCUGAAAUGACUUGUAAGUCGUUCUUUGUGUUUACUCCGGUCUUUGGUGUGCACCUUCAUCUUUAUUAUUCCACAAGGUUUGGACUACAUAUAAGCGAUGGUGGCGCAGCACCACGGCUUAAAUAAGAGCCGCCGCACCAUCAGAAAAAUAAUCUCUUUUUAAAGAUGCACUAUACCAUGGAGGUGGAGAUGAACAUGACGGUUUUCAGCAUGUUUUUCACAAUGACUGAAGUCUGUUGAUCACGAAACUAAAGUUGUGCUUUCCGGCCAAACAUAUGAAGAGACAGACCGCGUGAUGACGGAUGCAGAUUGGAGACAGAUUUACUCCUCAUAAUGGUUUUAAUGUGCGUCAGCUGCUUCAGCCUCUCGCUGGAUCCUGGCAUUCCUCAUUGAGUGAAUGACAGAGUUCGAUUCCUGAUGUUGAAUGGUGGAAACAUGUUUUCGAGACUUCCCUUUGCAAUUAUAAGCUUCACAGUGUGAUUGUAUAUUGCCAUUUGUGAUUACAUUUUCAAUGACACUAUUUUUCCAGUGGCACCACCAAAAACAGAUCUGUCUUUUGUGUUGUGUCAAUGAGUGGUUCGAAUUACAGCAAUGGUGAUUAUCUGUGUUCCCUGUGGUUGAGCCAGACUCCCUCUGUGUUUCAGCGUCUGUAACUCCCUGAGGUGAAGAUAGACUUCCUGUCCUCCCUCUGAGAGUCGUAGCCAUGUUUGUUGUGUUGCUGGAGGGGCAUUAUCAAGCUCUCCUCUGAUACUUCAACAGCAUUAACCAUUAAAAUCAGUAACAGGAACUGUUCUUUCAGUAAGUACUGUGUCUCACUUCAUAAAAGACUUCUUUUUAAUAAAAUGCAGGCGGAUUCAUUUGGAUGUAGCUUUCCUCCUGCACACCAUCUUCACUCCUCCUCCUUGCAAACAGACACAUAUCCAAAUCCUCCUGCCCUCGCUCUCCUCCCUCCGCUGGUGCACCAGGGGUCACACCAUCAAAAUGACUCUUUUUAUUACAGUUCAUAAACAGCGGCUCCCGGGCGGCCUGUAGAAAUUUCACAUAAACUUUGAUCAAACAGACGUUAGCCUCCCUGCUCCUCUGCCACCUCUCUCUCCACGUGUGAAAAUAGCUCCGCUUCAAUCACAGGCAGAGAAAACAUGGCAGAAAACAGUGCAAAUAUCAAGGCAGUCGCUGAUAUAUCAAGUCAUUAUUGACCGGAACACCAAGGGAGUAGAUCUCAUAUAAAAACAAUAAGUUACUCUUUGGAUUUCCUCUUUUAGUGGAGGCGGAAAUGUGAGCGGGAGGCUCUGGCUGUAAACUCGGCGCCUCCAAAUUAAUAGCUUCGUGGGGAGAGUACCAAAGUGAUAAAUCCGUCCAAAAAUAAAAACUCUGAUUUAAAUGUGUAUGAGCCUGAAGCCGAGUGGAUCCUCAAACCCUCCUUUUCUUUUGGUUUGACGGCGCUGGUGGUGGAGACGAGCAGAAGGAGACGAGACAGACAGUCUUCUUGUUUAGUCAGAAGAUCAGAGCAGAUACAGCACGCUUCAUCUUUCUUUAUUCUUCAGUAUACUUUGGCAUGCAACAUACUUAGUGACCCUUAAAGUCAGCCAGGGCUGUGCUAUGCAGUUACCAGCUAUCAGAUCAAAACUCCAAAGAGAUUUUAGAAGUAAAAUAAGCAGCUAAAUUUUAGUUCAUUAGAACGUUUAAGUGACAGUAGUUUAUGUAUAUCUCGCACUCCAGCAAAUGUUGAAUGAUUAUUGCUUUUUUGGUUAGUAUGCAAGGUUAUUUUUUCCAUUGUAUACAAGUACUAUAAUAUUGCAUUCCACUCUGAUUUCUAUUUUCAUUUCAUUGGAAUUCCAUGCAUGUACUUGUCACCUUGCCUUACCGAAGGAGCAAAGUAUCCCCAAAACAGAGAUGCUAAUGUACAUGGCAAACCCCCAAAAUAGUACAUUUUAAUAGCAGUAAUCUGUCAAAAUGCAUUAUAAUGGGUGAAUCAAAACCCGCCACUACAGUUAAUGUUGCAUUCUUUUUCAAUUACGAGUUGCUCUACUUUUGGCACCCUUAAAGAUAAGGUAUACUUCAAUUUGUGCAUACAAGCAACAAGUAUAUCAACCAAACUGCCUCUGUUUGUCUGUUCAACUUCCUUUUAAAAUAUUGUAUCGCUGCCUUGGGAUUUUGUCAAAAUUAUUGUACUGUUUUUAACACAUUCAAGCAACAGUUUACACCCAAAUUCCCCAGAACUGGAGCGAGAGAGAGACAUUAGACAUGAAGCCACUUUACAACUAAAUCAUAAUAAAUGUACAUGAAACCAGAAUUUGCAUUGCAAUGUGGGGUUUUCACUGCUCAGUAUAAAUAAAUAGUUCCCCUUCCCUUAUUUAUUCAGCUCAGAAAGUGUUUCAGCUAAAUCCCAACGCUCUCCAAACUACCUAAUUUUGGAGAAUCAAAGAGAGAGACGUUCCCUGCUGGAUAUCCAUCCUGUCCGUGCGCCUCUUUGUGUGCGUGUCUUUGAGCUGUAGUUACUUUUUCCUCUGUGUUUUGCGUUUCCUCCUGCCUCCUCUCGUCCUCACAUCAGCUGUUGUGUCUUCCCCACCAAACUAAUUCCACCCCCCUGCCGACUCCUCACCUUUCCCUCAACCGUGUCUUAUGACUCAACCUCCCCUUUCUUUAAUACUCCGUUAGCCGCACCAAUUACUCCUUCCCUCCAUGUGUCUCCCUGGCACUGCUACCGUUUCUCCUCGUUGAGGCCUAAUGGAAUAGGACAGCAGCUCCGCAGGGUCACUCACAAACACCGGUAUCGCUCUCUCUCUUCCUCUCUCUCUAAUAUAUACAACCACAACUGUUUUUGUUUGAGCCUCGGUUCUAUUUCUCCUGCAAGAGGUCAGGAUGUCACCUGCAGCCAGAAGCAGCGUUGUCAGCCCAGACGAAGAAAUGAAGCCUCGCUGAGCUACAUUAUGAGUGAGGCAGCAAUGUGUCUUGACAGUGUCAUAGAUAUGGCCUGUCAGUGUGUGUGUGUGUGUGUGUGUGUGUCUGCUCAAAGCCAAAAGAAUGUUUGUGCGCCUGCAUGCAUAUACAUAUAUACCGCGCCACAUCUGUUUUUUUUUUUUUUUUCCUUCUUCUGCUGCUGCUGUUUUCAUGUGUCCGUGUAGAGGCUGAUGCUUCCAGGUUUGGAUGGCGGCGUCUUGGCACUGGCUCGGUCUGCAGAGACCAGCUUCUGUGCAGGAUCAAGGAGUGCAGGGGCGGCUGCCGCGCCCAGCCAGCCUGACUGAACGCCAGCUGCAAUCCCAUGAUGCCUCCGCCACAUCCUUGGCAGCCCAUGUUCCAUUCCCCCCUUCAUCUUCCACCCAAUUUUGUGACUUGGCCCACUCUCUCCUCACUUUUUAGGCUUGUGGCUUCCACGUUUGCCACCAGAUGAUGGUGUUUGACGAGCGGGCACUUGAAGAAACGUGGUGUUAAAUCUGCUUAAACAGGUAUUUAUAGGUAUUUACAGACUUUAGAUAGAGCUGAAGUGGAAACAGGCAGUAUAAAUUAUAAAAAUGUACAUCCAUGAUGUCUCUGAAAGUGCCAUCCAUGGUAUUCCUGCCAUUCUUCAGCCCAACACAUAUGUAUGAAAAUGAACAGAACUAUCCAGACUGCGAUGUGGUCAGUCCCCUACCACAAUGUCAAAAUGGACUUUUUUUCUGUUCAACGUAUAUAAUAAGGAAAUGUGUACAACUACACAUUUUUUUUCAGAUUGUUUUUUUUAAAUUAAAGAUCAUCCUCAUUUCGCUUCACUUUUCCACUUAGCACUUCUUUCUUGUUGUUUAUUGUGUUCGCCAAUGAAUAUUAAUGUCAUGUUAGUCUACAUACUAUGUAUAUAAAAAAAAUAUAAUUUUAGUUCUAUCAUCAAGCAUUUCUUUGACUGCAUGUUAUUUCAAUAGUUUAAACAUUUAAAUUGAAUAUACAUCUGUGUUUUAUGUUUUUCAUUAUUUAACGCUUAGUUAUAAGUCAUUCAAAACUCUUCUGUAUUUGAUAUUUCCUGGCCUGGUCUACGCUGACUGUGCUUCCCGUCACAAUCAUUAAUUCAACUCCGUGGCAGCAUGGUGCUGUAGCUUCACAGCGUGAAGGUCUUGGGUGCCAUCUCAGCCUGAGACACCCUUUCGUGUCUUUCUGUGUAGUGUUUGCGUGUGGUUGUAUUGGGUUAGUUAUUUUGUCUAGCAGGAACAAACAAAAAUACUUGAGGAGUCCAUUUUCCAGUUUAAUGAAAAAGAUAGUACUGUCAAAUGUCUGACAGUACUAUCUUUUUCUUUAACCUUGACUGAAUUCUGUACAAUGAGAAUUGUUUACAGCAACAUCUGGAAAGAAUCCACCGAGCGUGAUGGUCAUCUGUCGUCUUUGUCUAGUUUUCAUAUGUGAUUGCUGCUUAUAGUUACUUUAAAACUCAACAUAACAAUGACAGUGACAUAUGUAGAGCCAUCUUCUAAACACACAGUUUUUGCAGCCACAUCUAUGUAGACCAGAGUUCUGCCUAGAAAAAGUCUGAGCUUGAAGUGUCUGAAAUAAUAAGAGCAGAGGUACAAAAACACGUGGGCUGUACUACCAUAAAACAUGCAGUCCAGUAGUUUCACAGAGCUCGCCGUCGUCCUUGUCUGAUAAGACAUCAUCAUCUAUACAAGCAAAUUAACGUUGAGUAUGAAAAGCAAAUGUGAUCAUUUUUAAGAUGUUAAACCAGGAAGGAAGCAUGAUAACAGCUAGAAUGGACAGAACUGUGGACUUGUGUGAACGCCAGUGGCCACUGUGCCUAAAGACAGUGUUUAUAAGUUGUGUCAACACUAAAGACACUUGUUUUGAUUCUAGUUGUGUACUCUGAGAACUCGUGUUGCGAGAACUGAUGCAAUAAUCGUUCUCUUGGAAAUAAAUAAACACCUGCCCGACAGUUCAUAUUGUGUGGGAGCGACAGGCUAAAAUCACAGCUUGGCUGCUUGCAGGCAAGUUAUUCCUAUCACUUCAGUAAUGCCGUAAGUAAACAAUAAUUGAUGUCGUGUAAUUAUCGUGUCAUUAAGACUUUAAUUCAUGACAUUAGGAGGAAAAAGUUUUUUUUUAUUUUUUUUAUUUGUAUUGUUGCGUAGUUGAUCUGUGUGACAACAAAUGGUUAAGACCCAUUUUCGUGCAUUUUAUUUCAGUUGUCCUCUAAAAUAAACAAGAGACGGAGCAGCAUCUGAGUCUUCCUCCUGUGCCACAGAAACAUAUUUGAUGUGUUGGAUUUUUAUAGGAAGCCUGUUUGUCUUUGUGCUGUUGUCAGUGUUAACAAAUAUGUUAGAAUUAUUUCCUAUUGGCUCCUGGUGUUUGUCCUUUACUGUGUGUAAGAGGAUGUUGAUAUUCCUCACAAAGGAAAAAAGAAUGUUGUGAGAGCCGUCAGGAAAAGUUGAUUCCCAUAAACAGGCUAACUUGAGACAUCUGUUGUGAGCAGCACUUGAAUCGCUAUCUACUGUUUUGCAAAUUUCUGUUGCACAUCAGAACCUGUGUUGUUUUUUCAUACUCUGCAUUCUGAGGCAAGUGGGAGAAUUUGUUGUGUUUUUUGGGGUGUUAUUAUAGUGGAGUAGGGGGACUGUCAAAGGGAUGGCGCCAGCGUCGCACUGUUAAACUGGGACUCUUCAGUACCCAUCAGGCCUCUGAGUCUUUGUGAAGACGACACCACAGAAGGCGCCUUCCAGAGAAAGCGUCACAUCCAGUUAGCAGACACCCGGCGCGCUAAAGAGGUUAAACUGCCGCGCCUGGCACAGCCAAUUGUAUUGAUAACUGUUUGAUGCUGCUUCUCUCCAACCUGGCAUCAUGCUUCACACUCUUUAUUUGGCUUGCCACUCCAGACUUCAAACAAGGGAGAGUUUGGUGUCUCUAUACGUGUGUUUGUGUGCAGAGCCAGGGGCCUUUACUGUUGUUUGUCUGCCUACAUUCAGAAAACCAGGCGUCUGAUCUGCAGGCAACAUCCCUCCAAAUUCCUCUGCUGUUUCUGCUCCAUGUAAAUAUAUCGGUGUCGGUUUGUCUGAUGAUGAAAUGAGCAUUAGACUCCAGUGCAGGCAGGAGAACCACACCGCUUCCUCCCCGAUUAAACAAGCCCUCUAUGAGAUCGGCGGCUUCUGUAAAGUUUCUCCAGGCAGGCAAAAGUGUCAGAACACAUCUGUAUUUGCUCUUGACUUCUGGCUCUAUUGCUGCUCUGGCACCGGCUUUCUCCGCUGCCUCUCACUCUCUCGCUCCUCCACUGUUUCAGCUUGUUAGCCCGAGGUCCUCGUCUUGGCCCCGAGUUAUGACUCUGUCGUGCAGCUGCUUGGCCAGCCCUGGGGGUCCUCGGAGGCAAAUGGCAUGUCAAGAAACGGUCACUGGGGUACGCUGUGUUCCCCACAGUCGCACUCACCGACGCUACUCUCACUUGUCCAAUUAAGGGCUUUUUGGCCCCCCCCCUUUAAGUUCCCAACCCUUCCACUUUUGACUUAUUCCUCAUAGUCUAAGGCUCUGACCCCGAGACAAACACACCUGACACCCCACCGGAUCACAGGUACAAAGGAAGAGAGAGUGGACAUGAUCGCGGGUGAUGACUACAUGAGAGUGCCUCUGUUUGCAUUUGUCUGUAUUACGUGGCUCAGCGUCACAUACAGAACGGUCAGCUAUGAAUGAGCAGCGAGGGAGCCUCUUCUUAACAGGCUGUGCUAGUAGCCAGGAGAAGUGGCAAUGGCUUGUUUGAUUUCAAUUUAAAAAAAAUAAAGAAAUGUACAUUGUAGCUUGAGUAGUUUAAUUUCAAAUAAAUGAAAGAAAUGAGCCAAGUGCAGUUGAACAACUGCACUUGUGAAUGACUUCAUAAGACAUAAUGACGUGGUUAUUGAGUGUGCAAAGCAUAUUCUUUAGAUAGAUAGAUAGAUAGACAGACCGAGCGAUAGAUAGAUAGAUAGAUAGAUAGACAGACAGACAGACAGACAGACAGACAGACAGACACAUAGAUAGAUAGAUAGAUAGAUAGAUAGAUAGAUAGAUAGAUAGAUAGAUAGAUAGAUAGAUAGAUAGAUAGAUAGAUAGAUAGAUAGACGGACGGACGGACGGACGGACAGACCUACAGACAGACAGACAGACAGACAGAUGACAGAUGGAUGGAUGGAUGGAUGGACGGACGGACGGACGGAUGGGCGGGCGGACGGACGGACGGACGGACAGAUAGAUAGAUAGAUAGAUAGAUAGAUAGAUAGACAGACAGAUGUCUCAGUAUUAACCAGAGGUUGUUGCACAUUGACCAACAGCAGUCACCCUCUUACAGUAUGUAUACAAGAACUACCUUAAAGCAGCAGCCCUCCCGGUUCCUAGCCAGCAUCCAGAAGGCGUGAGAUCUGCUCUCUGCCCUCUACCAGGAGACGGUGUGAGAGAGCUGCGAGACAUCAGACAGAAGCACUGUUAAAAAUACAUGUAUACCACCGCUCAUCAUUUAUUGAUGCACUCUUCCUCCCCUUUAUGUUUAUGAGGUGAGAGGCCUCCCCGUGGCUCUGCUCACUGACCCCUCAGCUCCAGUCCAGGUGUCCAAGAAAUUGGCUUUUCCCAGUAAUUUAGCCCACUUUCCCCUGGUAUCUAUUGUAUACUAAUAAGGAUCUACCCAAAAAAGAGUGUGAAUAAAUAUGCACUUUAACUGUUUAUCCAUGCGGAUAAAGUCAGUGCAGCGCCAUGUUGUUAUGUAUUCAAACCCGUGUCUUAAUAUUGGGAAUGAACAAAGUUGCUGUCUGCUCACAGAUAAAUCACUUGGCAUUAGCAUGUCGUACAACCGUCCUCGCGGUUUCCCUGCAUGUCUUUGUCUGGAAGUCACGGGCAGAUCAGUGUGAGAUUUACUCAUUGCUCGAUGCUGUUGUGGGGUCCCAGAGGCAUUUCCUGGCCCAGCCGGCUGCUGGAGGUCAGGGCCUCGGGGUGUUCAGGUUUUUUUUUUCUCUCUUGCUGUGUUGUUUGUCAGGCUAUUGAGAGCGGAUGGUGAGCACUGAGGCCUAACAACAAGGUAUUGAUUGAAUAAUCGAAGUCAUCUGACGCCGGUGUGGUUGACAACGACCCCCUGCAGCGGGCUACACAGAUUUUACCACGUGGUGGGCUGAGUGGAGACCAGCUAUCGUCAAUGAUGAGUUUAUCAGGUUGACUUUUUUUUUUCAGCACUGUAAGAUAUCAAUAAGCCAUAAUCAGUCAAAAAAAAUUGUCCUAAUUUUUUAAGUGAGCCUUUCCAAACUAUGUGUUUAUAUGUGUUUUUGAACUUUGUAUGUAUUUCUAUUUACUUUUCCACAAUAGUUUCAUAAAAUGUGACCGGUUCUGAAGACUAACUCAAAAGUAACACAUAGUUUGCAAAAAGCUGAAAUAUAUCAUUGAGACACUUACUGACACAUUUGUUUUGAACAAUUUUAAAACACUGCAUUUAUUUUCUACCUCAUUCCCAACGCUCUUGCAUUUCUGCUUGUUUUUAUUUGUUUUAUUUGUUUGCCAGCGAGAGGUGGUGGCAUGUUUCAAAAUGCUAUGUACGUUGGCAUUUCUUGCGCAUAAUAAAGUUUGGGAACUUUAACCAUUACAGUUGUAAAAUGCCAUUCACUACAUCCAGUAGGAGGGUUAAUUGAUGUUCACAGACAGCUAUAAUGUUGUUGCAUUCUGACAAUGCGCUUUAAUAAAAGGCUACAGCCGUUUGCUUCGAGUUGCUAAAAAUAAAUGAAUAAAUAAAAAGCACAGUCCUACUGCAGUCGAACCUGUAAUGUUAAUCUUUGACUUAGCAUGACAGCAAUAUUCAAAAUGUUGUUGCAUCAAAAUAAAUUGAUGGUGGUAUUUAUGAACUUAUUUUUAAAAAUAUUUUCUCAGUUAUUCCUGAUGUCCCCCCGGUCUGAGCAUGGAGGGCGCAAGGUGUGAAGCGCCACGUCUUCCUCUGCUGGCCCGGGCUCCCCGCCUCCUCUCCCCGCCUCCUCCUCUUGCCAACCCUCGCUGUGAUCCUAGAGGAAAGCUUUCAUUAUUUGCUGGGAUUGGGAUGUCAAUCCCUGCACCCCUGACCCAAGUUGUAGCUCUUCUCCGUCAUAUAGUGGCAGUGAUUAGCGGGGUUAUCUCCCCUGCACUGCUCACCGGGGGCGGGGGCUCUUUCCUCGCGUGGUACCUCCAAAAGCCAGGGGCAGACGCUGGACCGUGACGCGGCCGCGUCGGCGGCACCCUUCACCGGGGUAAAAAGUUGGCCUCCAAUUGUUGGGAAUAAAGUUGAUUUUCGAUUUCAAAGCAUUUCAGUGUUAAACUGUUAGUAUUUUUGAAAGUACAGAAUUUUUCCCUCACUCAGAAUUGUUUGACCUUCACAGGUUAAUCUGGUCAUUUUAUGCCUCAUUUAAAUAGUGGAAUCCAUUAUAAAAAUCUUUCAUAUUACGGUAUAAAAUAGCAUCAUUAGAAAUGUGUUCCUUUAUUAAAAUCUCUGAUCCUGUGAGUUUAAUCCCUUUCCCCCCCUUUUGUGCGGGUAUGUGAGCGCGUCUACCGGGAGCUGACUGGGGCUCCAUCCGCACUUCAUUAACCCCGAGCUGGGGACAAUCCUUGGGAAGAGCCGAGGGAUUUACCAGCAGCCAUUCACAUGCAAAAAGAAAGGGUGUUCCUGAAGUAAAGGCAGCUCCCGUCGUUACACGAAUCGGUCACGGAACCUCGUGAUGGGACCGUAAUGAUCUCUCGACGAGUUUUGGUGUGUGGUUUGUGUUCGCUUCGGUCCGCCCUCUGUAUAUUCAAUGCCAUUUCACGCGUCGUAAACGCGACAGUUAUCAGGCCGUCAGUCUGAUAUUUCAAGUCAGGGUCGGCCCCCACGCCGCCCCCUCUGCCCCGAACCCCGCAUAACAGGUGCCAUGCGUGGACGACAGCAGGGGGAGCCCACUAUCAAACCCAUCAUCGACUUUCAAUUAAAAACUAUUAAAGUCUUUUGUCUCAUCGUUAACAUCCUCCUGUCCGUCGUCUUGAACUCUUUUAACCUCAGAAUAACGGGAGGAUGGGGCGCCUGACAAUGGCGCUCUAUUCGAGGAGGGGCCACUGCUGGUGGCGCUGACCAGCUGUCCCCGGCCCACAGCAAGACCCAGUCCGGUCACCAGCUGUUGGAACCGUUUGGCACCAGUGCGAACCACCAGCACCCUGGAGCAAAGCAGAGGGAUGGAAACAAUCAAUUUCCAAAAUGGGAUCAUUUAGGGCACUUAAACAAUUGCGCGCAUGACAUUAAUAUUUCAUCUCCUGCAUUGUUUAUGGAAAAGAGCCGGAGAUGCUGCUGUUAAUUUAAGAAAGUGCGAAUAAUAAAGGAGGGAGGCGUGGGUGUGGAGUUGAGGUGUUUAAGUUUGGAACGGAUGCCUUCUGUUUUCUUUGCCCCCCUUUAAGGACAUUAAAUGGAAUUGAUCUUUGGUGGCUGACCAUCUCCGUGUGUGUUUCAGUACGAGUAUUGCAAUAUUUAACGCGCGUGUCAAAUUCAUUUUAUUCUUCAUAAAUAUGAAGGAAACCGUUAGAAUAAUCCAGUCCAAACACGCAAACAAAAUGACCUGAAUUAUAUAACAUGGGGGAAUUAUUAUUAUUAUUAUUAUUAUUAUUAUUAUUAUUAUUAUUAUUAUUAUUAUUAUUAUUAUCACUAGUAAUAGUAGUAUUCGCUGUCAGUUAAAUAUGAGGAAACAUUGAGUUUUAUUCAUCAAUUAUUUAUUGUGAGUGUGGUUCACGUGAACACGUUUGUUUGUUUGGAUUUGAAAAGAUAAAAGUCAGUAGCCAUGUACUGUUGAAACGCAAGAUGGUGCUUGUCAACCCGUUCACAAAAAGAUGGCUUAAUUCAUCCAUAUUUGACAUAUUAGGUCAAAUUAAAUGUCGUCAAAAAUGAUAUAAAUUUUCAUCAUUGACUCCGGUAGUAAGAGUCACUCAUUAGAUUUGAUUAACCUUAGUCUACACCUAAAUUAUCUCUAUUUUGACGUUUCCAUUUUUGAAGUCCAAUCCAAAUCACACACAUGUACUGAAAGACUUUUAUUUCCACAUUUAUAAAAGUAUUUCUCUUUUACAUCAAAUCCCACUUUUAGCUAGCCAACAUGUUCUGAAUUUCUGCCUCUAAAAAAGACCAGAGGAGAAAGAGUUGAGGGGAAAAAAAUACGUCUGAAAAGGGAAAACGAAAAAAAAGAAUCCAGGAAAUAUACGAGUACCACUCCACAAGUUGGAUAUCUGCAGUAUACAUGUUGACCAAAAAUAGAACAAUGAAGUGCACAGAACAUCAGCAGGUUGUGAGUUCGCUUCCCAUAAAGUCGUUCUCUGAAAUUUACGUUGAGGAAAUUGCUAAAAAAAAGUCUGACCCUUUUACUUGAAGAAAAGGAUUAUUGACACUAAAUCUGUGGGGCAUUAUGUCGUUUGGAUUAUCUGCUAGUCUGAAAAUGUCAAUCUGGAUAACUCUGGCGUGAAAAAAAAAUAACAAUAGAAAACAAUAAAAUAAGCUCCCAAAGUAAAACGGUCGUUUGAUUUCCUUAAACGUAUUUUCUGAAUAAAAUGCAAAAUAUUCUUAUUUACAGUUGAUCUUCUCUUAAUGUAAAACGAAAAAAAAAUCCCUUUGGAUGGUCUUUAAUAUUUCAACACGUGGAAUGUUCAUUUACACAUCGGUCGCUCACUAAUAAUUAAAUAUAUCCAGAAUUUAUUUCUGUUGCGUGAAAGUCUUUAUAUACAAAAAAAGAGGUCUUGGCAUUGAGUUGUGGGUGACGAUCGAACCAAAAUUAUUUAAAAAAAAAAAUAAAAUAAAAAGAAAGGAAAAUACUGCACCUGGGUUGAAAUAAAUACAUAACUUAAAUUCUCCGACGCGUUUUUUGACAAAUAAAUUAAUAAUAAAUACAGUUUGUGUCACUCGCAACGUCCUUAAAUGUUCUUUAAUUUGUCCUUUUAGAGUCUUUUCUCUCCCAGCAUGAGGUCCGCUCACCGCUGCUGGGUCGGCCGGGGCAACACGCCGGACAUGGGGGGCAAAGGAGGCGGAGGAGGGGGCUCACUGCCUCCCUGUAGACCAUGCAGGAGGAUCCGUGGCACCAGGGGUCUCUGUAGGGCCGGCGGUGGUGCCGAGGGUCCCCGGUACAAGUAGAGGGCCGCCCCCGGGUCCAGAUUCGACACCAGACUCUGCGGGUAGAAGUACGGGGAGGGGAACAUCCUCUGCAGCGCCGAGUAGUUCCCUGCUUCCGCCAACAGUUCAAGUCCCACCGCGGUCUGCCUCUUCCACUUGGUCCUGCGCAUAGACACCAUUCCGGGUAAACGAGCUGAGCUUAAUGAGUGAUUUGACUCAAAUCAUGAGGCAGACACUUGUGUUCACAGCCAAAACUGACGCAGGUGAAUAAUUCAUCAUCCAGAUAAUUGAGUGGAUAUAGUGGCGUGCGUGUGAAUUAUUGAUCACGCACACAUGCAAUCAUGUAUUAUUCACAGACCAAAGUGUUGUUUUUAUUUUUAUUUAUGUCGUUUAGAUGCCCGAGAGUCGGAUCUGCGCCUGAAAACACGAGUCUGACACAAGCGGAGGAGGUUCGGAUUUCAAGGGCUGUUUCUGCUGCCGCACUCUUGGUGACAACUUGGUGGCGGCUUCAGGAAAAACAACGGAAAAGCGUCUUCAACGUCUUGACCUGAGUGUCGGUCAGGUUGAGGGAGGCCGCCAGCUCCAUCCGGUCCUGCACACUGAGGUACUUCUGUCUCUCGAAGCUCCGCUCCAGCUGAGCCAGCUGGUGGUCGGUGAAGGCCGUGCGGGCCUUCCUGGGCUUCUUCAGCCGCACCUGCGGACUGUCCCUGCUGCUGGAGAUCUCCCGGUCGCCCUCUUCUUUGACUGGAACAUCAGAACGCCUUUGUUACCGUUGUGCAGUGGAACGAGACAGUGAUCAUGCCACCGACUAAAGUUUAGAUGAUACAUUGAUGGAGAAUGAUAUCCUCAGUUUAUA